GUACGAUUUUCGUAAACGGAAGUGCGUCCAACGCGCUUGGUCCAACGUGACUUAUGACCACUGCUGUAAAUAAAGGCGAAAGAGGCUAGCCUGUAAAAAGUUAUGCCGUGUGUAACCUAAAACUCCAGGAUGUUGUGUGAAAUCCUUCUGUCUUCGCUGUGGUUCCUGUUUGUUAUCUUCUGGGUCGAAACAAUAAGUGUGUGGCUCUUUCUGUCCAUGUUUUACCAGGAUCGGGCAAUUUAUCACUCAGUGGAGGGGAAUAGCAAGCCCCAAUGCAAACAAGUGCAUGUACAACGAAAUAAGCUCUGUCUCUGAUGGCACCGUGUGAGAGCGUAAUUUUCAAAAACUCAUUUGAU